AUUGAACGCUGGCGGCAGGCCUAACACAUGCAAGUCGAGCGAGCGGCGGACGGGUGAGUAAUGUAUGGGGACUGCCCGAUAGAGGGGGAUAACUACUGGAAACGGUGGCUAAUACCGCAUACUAUCGGAUCACCCAUAGGGGAUUAGCUAGUAGGUGGGGUAAAGGCUCACCUAGGCGACGAUCUCUAGCUGGUCUGAGAGGAUGAUCAGCCACACGGGGACUGAGACACGGCCCAGACUCAUACGGAGGCAGAAGUGGGGAAUAUUGCACAAUGGGCGCAAGCCGGACCGAGCAACGCCGCGUGAGUGAAGAAGGUUUUCGGAUCGUAAAACUCUGUAGUUGGAGAAGCGGUAUCUAACCAGAAAGCAACGGCUAACUACGUGCCAGCCGCCGCGGUAAUAC
rnacentral:rRNA from 1 species